GGUGAUGCAGUUGGUACAGGCACAUAAAUUCAAAGGUUUCUAGUUUUUUCUAUACAUUUGUAAGAUUUAUAUUGAAUACAAA